rnacentral:rRNA from 1 species
GACGAACGCUGGCGGCGUGCUUAACACAUGCAAGUCGAACGCUGAAGCUCAGCUUUUGUUGGGUGGAUGAGUGGCGAACGGGUGAGUAACACGUGAGUAACCUGCCCCCUUCUUUGGGAUAACGCCCGGAAACGGGUGCUAAUACUGGAUAUUCACUGGUCUUCGCAUGGGGGUUGGUGGAAAGGGUUUUUCUGGUGGGGGAUGGGCUCGCGGCCUAUCAGCUUGUUGGUGGGGUGAUGGCCUACCAAGGCUUUGACGGGUAGCCGGCCUGAGAGGGUGACCGGUCACAGUGGGACUGAGAUACGGCCCAGACUCCUACGGGAGGCAGCAGUGGGGAAUAUUGCACAAUGGGCGCAAGCCUGAUGCAGCGACGCCGCGUGAGGGAUGGAGGCCUUCGGGUUGUGAACCUCUUUCGCUCAUGGUCAAGCCGCAACAAUGGUUGUGGUGAGGGUAGUGGGUAAAGAAGCGCCGGCUAACUACGUG